rnacentral:rRNA from 1 species
AACGAACGCUGGCGGCAUGCCUAACACAUGCAAGUCGAACGAGACCUUCGGGUCUAGUGGCGCACGGGUGCGUAACGCGUGGGAACCUGCCCUUAGGUUCGGAAUAACUCCCCGAAAGGGGUGCUAAUACCGGAUAAUGUCUUCGGACCAAAGAUUUAUCGCCUUUGGAUGGGCCCGCGUUGGAUUAGCCAGUUGGUAGGGUAAAAGCCUACCAAGGCGACGACCCAUAGCUGGUCUGAGAGGAUGAUCAGCCACACUGGGACUGAGACACGGCCCAGACUCCUACGGGAGGCAGCAGUGGGGAAUAUUGGACAAUGGGCGAAAGCCUGAUCCAGCAAUGCCGCGUGAGUGAUGAAGGCCUUAGGGUUGUAAAGCUCUUUUACCCGGGAUGAUAAUGACAGUACCGGGAGAAUAAGCUCCGGCUAACUCCGUG